UAAGGUGGUUAUAGCGAUGGGGCUCACCUCUUACCAUUCCGAACAGAGAAGUUAAGCCCAUUAGCGCCGAUGGUACUGCAUUGUAGUGGGAGAGUAGGUCGUUGCCUUUU
rnacentral:rRNA from 1 species